rnacentral:lncRNA from 1 species
AGAAAAUGCAAGUUAAGAAGACAAUCCUGAUGAUAGACACAAGCUCCUACAGCAGGCAAGACAAUGCCCUGUUACCACAGAGGAGCCAGACAGGAAUGUGGAUGGAGGAGGAUACA